CAAAAAUAUACCCUAACCUCCAAGAUAAUUUCUCUCUACACUCUCUUUACAAUCUCUCUACCUCUUCCUCUUCCAAAUGUUGGAGUCCACUCAUUUCUCUUGGAAUCCUAGAGAAUAACAAAGUUAUUCUUGUGGUGGUGUCGGUGAUCAUUGAGAACGUUCGUGUGAAGAAUAAAAGGAAUUUCAAGAAAUUUAGAAAUCUACGAAAGUGUUCGGUAUCAAAGAGGUAGAAUCAAGCGUUAAGGUUGAAAUGAAGCUAAAAUAAACCAAUAUGGAGCUCAAAUGCAUCAACUGGGAAAGAAGAGACAAAAUUACGAAAAUCCCCUGAGGGCGGGGCACCAUGCACAAGGCAGAGAGCGUGCGAGGACGGAGGGCUGCACAUUCAACGACUCUGCGACAUAGCCAAAAAUUUGAGAGUACUGAUGCAUAGAGUGUCGUGGUGUACGUAUUUUGUCAAAGUAUCCGCACGCGUCCGGAUUGUUGCAACGUUGCAAUCUGUGGACCAGUUUGCUUAGAGCACCAGAACGCUUGCUUGAUAUUAUAUAUAUCGUCAUUUCUUGUCAAUUAGAGCAUCCAAUUUCAAACCAACCGAUUUUUCCUUGUUUUUUCUCUACUAUUUUCAACAUCCUUCUGUAUUCUCCUUUAUGUCUUUCAUUGAAUAAUGAUUAUCAACUAAGGUAAGUAA